rnacentral:rRNA from 2 species
UACGAAGGGUGCAAGCGUUGUUCGGAAUCAUUGGGCGUAAAGCGCGCGCAGGCGGGUCAGUAAGUCAGGUGUGAAAUCUCGGAGCUCAACUCCGAAACUGCGCCUGAAACUAUUGGUCUAGAGUAUCGGAGGGGACAGGGGAAUUUCACGUGUAGGGGUAAAAUCCGUAGAGAUGUGAAGGAACACCGGAGGCGAAGGCGCCUGUCUGGACGAUUACUGACGCUGAGGCGCGAAAGCGUGGGGAGCAAACAGG